CAUCGGAACGUGUCCCGUAGUGGGGGAUAGCCCGGCGAAAGCCGGAUUAAUACCGCAUAUGCUCUACGGAGGAAAGUGGGGGACUCGCAAGGGCCUCACGCUAUGGGAGCGGCCGAUGUCCGAUUAGCUUGUUGGCGGGUAAUGGCCACCAAGGCGACGAUCGGUAGCUGGUCUGAGAGGAUGAUCAGCCACACUGGGACUGAGACACGGCCCAG
rnacentral:rRNA from 1 species